UACGUAGGGGGCAAGCGUUGUCCGGAAUCAUUGGGCGUAAAGAGCGUGUAGGCGGCCCGAUAAGUCCGCCGUGAAAGUCCAGGGCUCAACCCUGGAAUGCCGGUGGAAACUGUCGGGCUGGAGUCCGGAAGAGGCGAGUGGAAUUCCUGGUGUAGCGGUGAAAUGCGCAGAUAUCAGGAGGAACACCAAUGGCGAAGGCAGCUCGCUGGGACGGUACUGACGCUGAGACGCGAAAGCAUGGGGAGCGAACAGG
rnacentral:rRNA from 1 species